rnacentral:rRNA from 1 species
CUUGACGAUCAUAGAGACGUUGAACCACCUGAUCCCAUCCCGAACUCAGAAGUGAAAAGCGUCAUCGCCGAUGGUAGUGUGGGGGAUCCCAUGUGAGAGUAGGUCGUCGUCAAGCUUAUAAUUAAGAGAAACCCCAUUCUGCUACGCAGGGUGGGGUUUUUUCGUUCAAAAUACCGGUUCAAAAUAUUUAAACACACCACAUGGUCGUGUGGGGCUCUUAUGAAGGAACGCAUGUGAGAGUAGGUCGUCGUCAAGCUUAUAAAUGCUAAGAAGCCCUGAUAGCUAACGCUGUCAGGGUUUUUUUAUGCCUAAAAUAAGUGCUAGAACAUAAUCCUCCACACCGUGUGGGGCUCUUAUGAAGGAAUGCAUGUGAGAGUAGGUCGUCGUCAAGCUUAUAAUUAAGAGAAACCCCAUCCUGCUACGCAGGGUGGGGUUUUUUCGUUCAAAAUACUGGUUCAAAAUAUUUAAAAACACCACAUGGUCGUGUGGGGCUCUUAUGAAGGAACGCAUGUGAGAGCAUGUCGUCGUCAAGCUUAUAAUUAAGAGAAACCCCAUCCUGCUACGCAGGGUGGGGUUUUUUCGUUCAAAAUACUGGUUCAAAAUAUUUAAAAACACCACAUGGUCGUGUGGGGCUAUUAUGAAGGAACGCAUGUGAGAGCAGGUCGUCGUCAAGCUUAUAAAUACUAAGAAGCCCUGAUAGCUAACGCUGUCAGGGUUUUUUUAUGCCUAAAAUAAGUGCUAGAACAUAAUCCUCCACACCGUGUGGGGCUCUUAUGAAGGAACGCAUGUGAGAGCAUGUCGUCGUCAAGCUUAUAAAUACUAAGAAGCCCUGAUAGGUUAUCCUGUCAGGUUUUUUUUUAUGCCUAAAAUAAAGAGGAAAGCAUAAUCCUCCACACCGGGCACUUUUAUCUAGGACAGGCAUAGUUAAAAUCUAGCAAUCAUGAGCCUUACAGGCUUUUUGAGAUGCAGAGAUGGUCUGGUGUAGAUUGGAUAAGCUUGUGCCACCAGAUACACUCCUUUAUCUAGGACAGGCAUAGUUAAAAUCUAGCAAUCAUGCGCCUUACAGGCUUUUUGAGGUGCCGAGAUGGACUGGUGUAGAUUGGAUAAGCUUGCCCCACUAAAUACUCUCUUCUAUCUAGGACAGGCAUAGAUAAACCCCAGUAAUGGUGCGGCUUAUCGUGUGGUUAAGCCUAUUUUCCGUAUCUCAUCUAUACUUAAUCUUUGUUUUCUCAAGGAAGAGGAACGGGAUUAUGCCCAUGCCCAGAAGUCAGCAGGUUUGCUUAGACGAUACCCCUUAUUAUC